AAUAAGUGCAAUUUUGCACUAUUCACAUUCAACGUUUGACCGUUCGUCUUAUUUGAAAUUUUUUUAUGAUUAGUAUUUUUAUUGCUAUUAGAUGAUAAAACAUGAAUAGUACUUUAUGUGUGACUAAGUAUUUUUAAUUUUUCACAAAAUUUUCAAAUAAGACGGACGGUCAAACGUUGGGCAUGGAUAUUCACGGCUGCACUUAUU
rfam:Oryza rufipogon genomic scaffold, chr06